rnacentral:rRNA from 1 species
UACGAAGGGGGCUAGCGUUGUUCGGAAUCACUGGGCGUAAAGGGCGCGUAGGCGGCUAUGCAAGUCAGGCGUGAAAUCCCGGGGCUCAACCCCGGAAUUGCGCUUGAUACUGUGUGGCUUGAGUCCGGGAGAGGAUGGCGGAAUUCCCAGUGUAGAGGUUAAAUUCGUAGAUAUUGGGAAGAACACCAGUGGCGAAGGCGGCCAUCUGGACCGGUACUGUCGCUGAGGCGCGAAAGCGUGGGGAGCAAACAGU